UUGGUUAAGUUAGAAAGGGCGCACGGUGGAUGCCUUGGCACUAGGAGCCGAAGAAGGACGGGACUAACACCGAUAUGCUUUGGGGAGCUGUACGUAAGCGUUGAUCCAGAGAUUUCCGAAUGGGGGAACCCACUAUCUUUAGUCGGAUAGUAUCCUUACGUGAAUACAUAGCGUGAGGAAGGCAGACCCAGGGAACUGAAACAUCUAAGUACCUGGAGGAAGAGAAAGAAAAAUCGAUUUCCUGAGUAGCGGCGAGCGAAACGGAAAGAGCCCAAACCAAGAAGCUUGCUUCUUGGGGUUGUAGGACACUCUAUACGGAGUUACAAAAGAAAGUUAUAAAUGAAGCGGUCUGGAAAGGCCCGCCAAAGACGGUAACAGCCCGGUAGUUGAAAUGGCUUUCCCUCCAGAGUGGAUCCUGAGUACGGCGGAACACGUGAAAUUCCGUCGGAAUCCGGGAGGACCAUCUCCCAAGGCUAAAUACUCCCUAGUGACCGAUAGUGAACCAGUACCGUGAGGGAAAGGUGAAAAGCACCCCGGAAGGGGAGUGAAACAGUUCCUGAAACCGUGUGCCUACAAGUAGUUAGAGCCCGUUAAUGGGUGAUAGCGUGCCUUUUGUAGAAUGAACCGGCGAGUUACGAUUUGUUGCAAGGUUAAGCGGAAAAAGCGGAGCCGUAGCGAAAGCGAGUCUGAAUAGGGCGCAUAAGUAACAGGUCGUAGACCCGAAACCAGGUGAUCUACCCAUGUCCAGGAUGAAGGUAAGGUAAUACUUACUGGAGGUCCGAACCCACGCACGUUGAAAAGUGCGGGGAUGAGGUGUGGGUAGCGGAGAAAUUCCAAUCGAACUUGGAGAUAGCUGGUUCUCUCCGAAAUAGCUUUAGGGCUAGCCUCGAGGUAAAGAGUCA
rnacentral:rRNA from 1 species